rnacentral:lncRNA from 1 species
GAGAAACACUAGAGAUGAGACUGACACUUGGGCAUACAUUGCUGCAGAAGGGGAUCAGGAAGUUUCAGACAGUGUAUGCCAAACAGAUGAGAGUUCUGGUAAGUUUGCUUGGCAUUGUUCUCAUAGGAUUUCGGAAUGCCCCAUAUUGUCUUUUUUUCUCUCAGAAUAUAAUGUUCUAUUCGGAUCUAAUAAGUAACUUUUAAUAUCGAAGACUCAAGUCAUUCUUUGACAUCUAAAUGCAUCAAAUAUUUUCUAAGUUCUUAUAAUACACUUAUAAAGAUUUCUACU